rnacentral:lncRNA from 10 species
UCUAAAUAGAGACAACAUCUUUAAAAGGCAUGGAGGGUCUGCACCUGGAGACUCCCACCUAAGAUGGGGGUUUAGAUGAGACCACUCUGGGAGGACACGCAGCCGAGUGUGGAGGCCCCGAGGAAGAUCAGCUCUGAAGACACAGGCAGGCAAAGGGCAGACCUCGAAGGAGAUGGAGGAGGAAUGACAGAGGGCAAGAAGAAUCAGGUUUACUGUCUGCCAGGCUGCCAAACCCCAACCCUCGCCACAUCCGCAGCCACCACGUAAAGUGACUGUUAGAACUUCAAACGAAGGAUCUGACCC